rnacentral:rRNA from 1 species
AGCGAACGCUGGCGGCAGGCCUAACACAUGCAAGUCGAACGAACUCUUCGGAGUUAGUGGCGGACGGGUGAGUAACACGUGGGAACGUGCCUUUUGGUUCGGAAUAACUCAGGGAAACUUGUGCUAAUACCGAAUGUGCCCUUCGGGGGAAAGAUUUAUCGCCAUUAGAGCGGCCCGCGUCUGAUUAGCUAGUUGGUGAGGUAACGGCUCACCAAGGCGACGAUCAGUAGCUGGUCUGAGAGGAUGACCAGCCACACUGGGACUGAGACACGGCCCAGACUCCUACGGGAGGCAGCAGUGGGGAAUCUUGCGCAAUGGGCGAAAGCCUGACGCAGCCAUGCCGCGUGAAUGAUGAAGGUCUUAGGAUUGUAAAAUUCUUUCACCGGGGACGAUAAUGACGGUACGCGGAGAAGAAGCCCCGGCUAACUUCGUG